CAUUUUUUUCCUAUUUCUUUUUAACGAUUUUUAAUGAUUAACAAGUGAAAGAAUAAUGUAUCUGGAAGAAAAAAUUCAAAUAAAAGGAUCGUACCAACAAAUAGUAAAAUGUGACGUUUAAAAUUUGGACACAUAUCCCUAGCAGAAGUUCGUAAUAAUGAUACCAGACGGCGCCAUCGUUUCAUAUUUGGCGCGAUUUUUUCGCGACGAUCGAUGUGUAUCUGCGUAUUUUCUGUGUUAAAACUUCUACAUUACAAAGCGAGGGGAGUAGUCUUUAUUAAUUAUUUAUUCAAUAAGAAUAUGUUCACUUUUACUUGGGAUUGAUAUAAAUGAUAAAUAAAGCAAAACAAGAGGACUUAUACGAUGUUUAUAAAGACAACUUUUCAAAAAGCCAUCAAAGUUUUAUUGAGAAGAGAGAGGAUCAAUCCGUAUGCGGUGCGUCGCAUUGCGUUUUUAGAUUUUUGGAUGAAAUUGUAGGAGGAAUUGCUGCUAGUAGUAGAUAGGUUGGUUGUUCAUGGUGGGAGUUGUUCUUUGGGGUGGGCGUUGCUGGGUCGAUACAGGGUGGAUAUCGUCGUCAAUCGCAAGUAAAGCACCACAGGUUCGAACAAAUAAUAUUCUCCCGUUUUUAUCAUAUGUUAUUUAAUUUAUUUUCUUAAAUGUCA